rnacentral:rRNA from 1 species
UACGUAGGCAGCAAGCGUUGUCCGGAAUCAUUGGGCGUAAAGAGCGUGUAGGCGGCUUGGUAAGUCCGCUGUGAAAGUCCAGGGCUCAACCCUGGAAUGCCGGUGGAACUGUCAAGCUUGAGUCCGGAAGAGGCGAGUGGAAUUCCUGGUGUAGCGGUGAAAUGCGCAGAUAUCAGGAGGAACACCAAUGGCGAAGGCAGCUCGCUGGGACGGUACUGACGCUGAGACGCGAAAGCGUGGGAGCAAAC